UACGUAGGCAGCGAGCGUUGUUCGGAAUUACUGGGCGUAAAGAGUGUGUAGGCGGUGCUCUAAGUUCGGUGUGAAAUCUCUCGGCUUAACUGGGAGGGUGCGCCGAAAACUGGAGUGCUCGAACGUGGGAGAGGAAAGCGGAAUUCCUGGUGUAGCGGUGAAAUGCGUAGAUAUCAGGAGGAACACCUGCGGUGUAGACGGCUUUCUGGACCAUUGUUGACGCUGAGACACGAAAGCGUGGGUAGCAAACAGG
rnacentral:rRNA from 1 species